rnacentral:rRNA from 1 species
AGUGAACGCUGGCGGUAGGCCUAACACAUGCAAGUCGAACGGCAGCACAGUAAGAGCUUGCUCUUACGGGUGGCGAGUGGCGGACGGGUGAGGAAUACAUCGGAAUCUACUUUUUCGUGGGGGAUAACGUAGGGAAACUUACGCUAAUACCGCAUACGACCUACGGGUGAAAGCAGGGGAUCUUCAGACCUUGCGCGAUUGAAUGAGCCGAUGUCGGAUUAGCUAGUUGGCGGGGUAAAGGCCCACCAAGGCGACGAUCCGUAGCUGGUCUGAGAGGAUGAUCAGCCACACUGGAACUGAGACACGGUCCAGACUCCUACGGGAGGCAGCAGUGGGGAAUAUUGGACAAUGGGCGCAGGCCUGAUCCAGCCAUACCGCGUGGGUGAAGAAGGCCUUCGGGUUGUAAAGCCCUUUUGUUGGGAAAGAAAAGCAGCAGGUUAAUACCCCGCUGUUCUGACGGUACCCAAAGAAUAAGCACCGGCUAACUUCGUG